rnacentral:tRNA from 1 species
CGGGGCGUAGCGCAGUUGGUUAGCGCGCUUGGUUCGGGACCAAGAGGUCGCUGGUUCGAAUCCAGUCGCCCCGA